rnacentral:rRNA from 1 species
GACGUAGGGCGCGAGCGUUGUCCGGAUUUAUUGGGCGUAAAGGGCGCGUAGGCGGCUUGACAAGUCACUUGUGAAAUCUCCGGGCUUAACUCGGAACGGCCAAGUGAAACUGUCAUGCUAGAGUGCAGAAGGGGCAAUCGGAAUUCUUGGUGUAGCGGUGAAAUGCGUAGAUAUCAAGAGGAACACCUGAGGUGAAGACGGGUUGCUGGGCUGACACUGACGCUGAGGCGCGAAAGCCAGGGGAGCAAACGGG